rnacentral:rRNA from 1 species
AUUGAACGCUGGCGGCAUGCCUUACACACGCAAGUCGAACGGUAACGCGGGGCAACCUGGCAACGAGUGGCGAACGGGUGAGUAAUGCAUCGGAACGUGCCCAGUAGUGGGGGAUAGCCCGGCGAAAGCCGGAUUAAUACCGCACACGACCUACGGGUGAAAGCGGGGGACCGUAAGGCCUCGCGCUAUUGGAGCGGCCGAUGUCAGAUUAGGUUGUUGGUGGGGUAAAAGCCUACCAAGCCGACGAUCUGUAGCUGGUAUGAGAGGACGACCAGCCACACUGGGACUGAGACACGGCCCAUACACCUACGGGAGGCAGCAGUGGGGAAUUUUGGAAAAUGGGGGCAACCCUGAUCCAGCCAUGCCGCGUGCGGGAAGAAGGCCUUCGGGUUGUAAACCGCUUUUGUCAGGGAAGAAACGCUCUGGGCUAAUACCCCGGGGUAAUGACGGUACCUGAAGAGUAAGCACCGGCUAACUACGUGCCAGCCGCCGCAGUAAAAC